AGAGAUGGAGCCGGCGCCACCUGACUAGGGAGGACUAGUUUAGAUCUCCAGAUUCGGUACAGUGGGAAUACCUGAGGGAAGAGUUUCAGAGUUAUUUGAGGAGCAGGGACGCCCACGGGUUCCAACCAAUGCCCUCCUUACUUGUUUUGUGUUUCGUUUUAGUUAUUAGCGAUGCGGUUGGAUGAGACUUUGUUGUUUCAUAUGAAAGAAUUUGCUUUGAGGGAGCCGGGAGCAGCACUACAAUCCGCAGGGUUGUUUAUUUUAAAUAGGGCUCUGCACGGUGUUAUUUAUGACACCGUGAUGUUGACACUUCGAGUUCUUUUAAAGUUAUAUUUUUAUUUGCAUUCCUGUGUGAGGGAAGGGAGGGGGAGAGGAUGGGAGGAGCUUCCUGUGUGCAAGCCUGCAGGUGCGCCAGUGCUCAGCAGAGGGCACUGAAUGCUGCGGCACUCGGGUUAACAGAUGGUAGUGAGCUGUCUGAACUACUUAAAAUUUUCAGGUAAAAGGGCAGCAAGCAUUCUUAAACUGCUGAGCGGCCCUCUAGGUGUUCUUUGCUGGGGCAGGGGAGUUAGCAGGGAGGAAGUGGAGAGAACUGGGAGAGUUGAGACCCUCCUUCUGAGCGUUAAGCUGCAUGUAGAUAAUAUCUGCAGGUGUGGCACAAUUGAAAAGGCAGUGGCUUUCAGGCUAGUCACUGCACGGACUAGUAAGGCAGCUCUCUUGCUCCCAGCACCGUGCAUCUGAUUCUCCGUUCUCAGGAAAGUGAAAAAUAAGGCUGAGUUCUGCAACAUUUCCUGCCUUUCAACAGCAACUAGGACCACCUGACAUGGUUAAACAGCCCUGGCUUAACGUUCCAGACACUGCUGCCAAUACUUGCGGCUGUUAGUUCCUGAUUUCUGCUUAAGGCUUUGCAGUUCUGCUUAUAGUCCUGUGAUCAGAGACACUUCCUCCUGUGGCAGCUGAAUUCCACGUUUCCCGAAACAGGAUUUCCCUAUUUUGUAGAGAACUUCCAUGAUUGAAUCUUCCUGCUUCUGGAAAUAAAAUGGGUAGUCCCUUGCAUACAAA
rnacentral:lncRNA from 1 species